UGUGCUCCAAGGAGUUGGGGUACAAUAAUAACACCUCAUCCAUGCUAAGGCACUACCGUGCCUUGCAUGAGAAUAGGGAGGAAACUGGAGCUUCACCCAGCCAAGCCACCAGAAAACAAGAGCUGGAUGAAGCUCUAGUCUCCAUGAUAGUGAAGGAUAUCCAGCCUUUCACUAUUGUGGAUGACGUUGGAUUCAGGACAUUUGUGUCUAAGCUGGAUCCCAAAUAUGUUCUCCCUACAAGGCAGGUAUGUGUGGGUCCAUACAUGAAACGAAUGACUACAUUAUUGUAUGUGUCACAAUUCAGCAAUAUAUAUAUAUUUCUUCCUUUAGGCUCUGAAGGCCAUGGUGGAGGCCAAAUAUGAGUUUGCUAAGGAGCACGCUAAGGCUAAAGUAGAUGUAACCCACGUGACCGCCACGACCCAACCACCUUCCCUUUAAGCCGUCCCUUUAACAGCUGGGACCCUCAUGUGUAUUUCCGGGUUUUCACUGUGCUGCUGCUCACUGUUGGUUGUGGCGUUGGUUGUUAAUAAAACAAUCUCAAAUCUCCAACUCGACUCAUCGCUGAACGAAUUCAUCUCUAAAACUCGAGGAUCUGCGGUUGGGCUUUGUUGAUGCCUGGUUUACCUUCUGAUGAGAACAAGUAACAUCCACUUCCUCAGACAAUCCGUUACUCGACGGUCAGGUUUUUUUUUGUCCCCCUUCAUCGACUCGCUUGCUGAAGGAGGAUGGCGAGCUACCCACACACCACCUGGUGGUAGGAAAAAGAAAGACACUCUCCACACAGGAAAACCAAACAACACUUUCCAUACAGGAAACAAAAUAAACUCUAAGGGAGUAUCUAAAGGAAAAGAACAAUUCUCCCGUUGCUCUUGGACUUUUGAACUACAUUUGGUUUUGAAGUAUUAUUGAUUAUUUCAUUUUUGGUUUGUUCUU